UCACAUGCAAGUCGAGCGGAAACGAUCCUAGCUUGCUAGGAGGCGUCGAGCGGCGGACGGGUGAGUAAUGCAUAGGAAUCUGCCCGGUAGUGGGGGAUAACCUGGGGAAACCCAGGCUAAUACCGCAUACGCCCUACGGGGGAAAGCAGGGGAUCUUCGGACCUUGCGCUAUCGGAUGAGCCUAUGUCGGAUUAGCUAGUUGGUGAGGUAAUGGCUCACCAAGGCUGCGAUCCGUAGCUGGUCUGAGAGGAUGAUCAGCCACAUCGGGACUGAGACACGGCCCGAACUCCUACGGGAGGCAGCAGUGGGGAAUAUUGGACAAUGGGCGAAAGCCUGAUCCAGCCAUGCCGCGUGUGUGAAGAAGGCCUUCGGGUUGUAAAGCACUUUCAGUGAGGAAGAAAGCCUUGAGGUUAAUACCCUCGAGGGAGGACAUCACUCACAGAAGAAGCACCGGCUAACUCCGUGCCAGCAGCCGCGGUAAUACGGAGGGUGCGAGCGU
rnacentral:rRNA from 1 species